GGCGGAUUCAGCGGCUACCUCACCGCGGCAGCGGCCGGUUUCCAGCUACCUUCUCGCGUCGACAGCUAAUUCCCCGCGUUGUCCGGCUACAUCCCCACGCCUCCUGCUAAGUCAGCCGCGUCUCCGGCUACAUCCACGGUAAGGGUUUGGAGUAUAAGAUCAAGAUAGUUGAGAUCGAUCUGGCAGACUGGCCGGUUUGGUACAAGGAGAAGGUUUACUUGAGGAACAAGGUGCCUUCUCUGGAGCAUAACAAACAGGAGAAAGAGAGCUUGGAUUUGGUCAAGUACAUUGACAACAAUUUCAAAGGCCCAAGCCAAUGUAGUAACAAAACAGGGGCGGCGCAUGGUUUGCCCAAAAAAAGAGAAAGGAAAGAAGCAUCUGGAGUGACCAAAAUCACGAGACGGGGAGGUCGAGGCCCCGGUGACCGACGUCUCCCUCAGUUCCUCGGUUUGCCGACGUGCUCGUGGUGGAAGCCGAAGUCCACGGAGCAGCGCCGCCAGCCUGAUCAAACUAAUCGACGACGCUGGCGCUCGUACACCGCUCGGAGUCUAGAACCACUUGUAUGUCAACCAGUCCUGUC